GAUGAAUGCUGGCGGCGUGCCUAACACAUGCAAGUCGAGCGGCAGCGAGGGGUGCUUGCACCCUGUCGGCGAGCGGCGAACGGCUGAGUAACGCGUAGGAAUUUGCCCCAAAGUGAGGAAUAACUGCCCGAAAGGGUAGCUAAUGCCGCAUAUGGUCUUCGGAUUAAAGGAUUUAUCCGCUUUGGGAGAAGCCUGCGUUGGAUUAGGUUGUUGGUAGGGUAAUGGCCUACCAAGCCGACGAUCCAUAGCUGGACUGAGAGGAUGAUCAGCCAGACUGGAACUGAGACACGGUCCAGACUCCUACGGGAGGCAGCAGUGAGGAAUCUUCCACAAUGGGCGAAAGCCUGAUGGAGCAACGCCGCGUGAAGGAUGAAGGCCUUCGGGUUGUAAACUUCUUUUAUGAGUGAAGAAUAUGACGGUAACUCAUGAAUAAGCACCGGCUAACUACGUG
rnacentral:rRNA from 1 species